rnacentral:rRNA from 1 species
AAAAAAAUGGGUGGAGGGGGCGGGAGAGAUACAGAGUGUGCGAGCGUUAAUCGGAUUUACUGGGGGUUAAGCUCGCGUAGGGGGAGAAUUAAGUAAAAUGUGAAAUCCCCGAGCUUAACUUGGGAAUUGCAUUCGAGACUGGUUGGCUAGAGUAUGGGAGAGGAUGGUAGAAGUCCAGGUGUAGCGGUGAAAUGCGUAGAGAUCUGGAGGAAUACCGAUGGCGAAGGCAGCCAUCUGGCCUAAUACUGACACUGAGGUGCGAAAGCAUGGGGAGCAAACAGGAUUAGAUACCCUAGUAGUC